UAACUCAGGUUAUCUUAUUUUGUUUUUUUUUUUUUACGAUUUGCUCAAGUUAUAGUGAAUAGCUGAUUUUAUAAUGAUAUUGCUGGAGGUGAUGUAGAAUUUAUACUUACAUAAAUUUUAAAAAUUAGCUAUCAAUUUAAAUUUAUGUUUUUAAUACAAUUAUGUUACCGUUUUUUGUUUUUUGUUUGUUGGGUGUGCGUUAUAAUAUUUUUUGUUUAAAUUUAUUGAAAGGUGAUAAAAUGAUGGCGCAAGUAGAAAACAAACAUUUGCUACUUUAAAUGGAUAACAAACUAGCGCAUCCAAGAGUAGACAUACAGGGAAUAAAAAACUCAAAGUAUUAAAAUUCGAAAAAAAAAUUAAUGUGAACAAAUUAUGACCGCUAAUAUUGUCAAAAGGAGUCUACACAUAUAAAAAUUCAAGAAAAUCUUGGAGAAACUUGAAGAAGUCUUGACUCAGAGAAGUUUGAGAUACAGGAGUUUUCAGAAAAACCAACAGAAGUACAGAACGAGAUCUCCGAAAAAUAGGUUGUUUAUGUUUCCCCGCCAAAUAUAUUUCCGUUUUAAGCUUCACAUAAGAAAUUUGAUGCAAUGGCAGUACUUCUCUUAUUGUAUAGCAACACGGUCGGAAAACAAAUAUGUACAUAAAUGUGGAGAUAUGCAUGGAUACUGUGUUAUAUGGUUAUUUUCGAAAGAGUCGGAUGCAGAACGAGAGGUUUGAGCAACUAUUUUGUGAAAAAAAGGUGAAUUACGAAAUGCUCAUAUUCAAAUGCUCAAUGAGAGAAAACAAGUUGUUCAGGGGCAAAAACCAUUUUGUUCUUUACACACGUUUCAUGUGAAUAUCGAUUUCCUGAAUAAAGUUUGUUUCAGAAAAACUUAGUCGCCACAGGUAUAACGCUACGAAGUACGAAUUGAUUUAAAAGAAAUACUUGAACACCGUAUUCCAAAGAGCUUAGCAAUCAUGUGAGUUAGUUAUUUCAACCAACAGGAAGAGUAGUCUCCUGGUAUAUUAAAGAUUAAUUCAUGUUCAAUGGGCAAAAAAAUAUUAUUACAUAUGAAAAAAAAAAACAAAAAAUUUUUAUAAAAAUUUCUUUUAAGAUCGAAAAAUACAUUUGAAAAUAAUGAUGA